rnacentral:lncRNA from 11 species
GUGCUUUAAAGCAUGUCCUCUGUGCUGGAGAUGAGUGCAGAAGGAAGGUUGUAGGAAGCUAUCAUGAGGAGCUCGGGACUUAAGCCAAUAACUGAUUUCAAAGAGAAUUGGAACCUGUGUUUUUAAACAAUCCUUCUUUAUGUGAGAGCAGGGAGUGGGCGUAUGCUGGAGGAAGAAUGAAAUCAUGAAUUUCCUACCUUCCUGCAGAUAAUACAACUGCUGCUAUAACC